GUAUUCUAUGGGGUGCAAGCUUUAAAUGCAACUUAAGUACUAAUUUAUUUUGUCAGACCCCCAUGUAAAUGGUGCAUUACUGCUAGCCAACAUGAAUGUUAUAUA
rnacentral:ncRNA from 8 species